rnacentral:tRNA from 1 species
AUGGGUGUAGCUUAAUUGGCAGAGCAAUGGUCUCCAAAACCAUAGGCUGGAGGUUCGAGUCCUCCCACCCAUGCCA